UUGAUGGACGAGUCUGACGGAGCACGCCGCGUGAGUGAUGAAGGUUUUCGGAUCGUAAAGCUCUGUUGUUAGGGAAGAACAAGUACCGUUCGAAUAGGGCGGUACCUUGACGGUACCUAACCAGAAAGCCACGGCUAACUACGUGCCAGCAGCCGCGGUAAUACGUAGGUGGCAAGCGUUGUCCGGAAUUAUUGGGCGUAAAGGGCUCGCAGGCGGUUUCUUAAGUCUGAUGUGAAAGCCCCCGGCUCAACCGGGGAGGGUCAUUGGAAACUGGGGAACUUGAGUGCAGAAGAGGAGAGUGGAAUUCCACGUGUAGCGGUGAAAUGCGUAGAGAUGUGGAGGAACACCAGUGGCGAAGGCGACUCUCUGGUCUGUAACUGACGCUGAGGAGCGAAAGCGUGGGGAGCGAACAGGAUUAGAUACCCUGGUAGUCCACGCCGUAAACGAUGAGUGCUAAGUGUUAGGGGGUUUCCGCCCCUUAGUGCUGCAGCUAACGCAUUAAGCACUCCGCCUGGGGAGUACGGUCGCAAGACUGAAACUCAAG
rnacentral:rRNA from 1 species